rnacentral:lncRNA from 1 species
CAGGAAACAGGGCUGUAUUUGCUCUAUUAGGAAUGCUGUUCAGCUGCUUAAAGGAGAAGUAACAAUUUCACCCUUUACUGCUUCCCCUGUGUAGGUAAGGAAUAUCCUUGGCUCUCUGCUGCAGUUUGCACCAUGGCUCAGCAUAGGCAGCCUGUUUAGAGUCAGGGAGAGAAUGCAGAGGGUGUUUUGCAGCAGACUUGAGCAUCUCCUGCCCAAGUGGAUGCUACAUUAGGAAGCCCUGCAGCUGGAGAAUAACCAGGACAGUGUGGUCCUGACAAUGCUGUGCAGGUCACAAGGAAGAGAACAUGAGCUGUGCCCACUUGCAGCAGCUUUUUGACAUACCUGUCUGCAGCCUAGGACAUCCACUGCCAAGGGCAAGUGUUCAUGGAAAACACCAGAUCUUUUCAUUGGCAUUACAAGAAUGAAGGAUACUAUUUCAAAAAAGAACAACACCCAGCAUUUGAUCUUUCCAGCUGUACUGAAAACAGCAGCCACUUCAUACUACCAGCUAUGGUGAAACAAAGGUGAAGAAGCACAGAAGUUAAGACUCAUUUUAAGAAAAGCCUUCAAACAUGAAAAAACCGAAGGAAGAGAAGAUGAAAAAUCAAGCCUAUAUUUUGUGUCCUCCUUUCUGGAUCUUCAUGGACCCCAGCAGUUUGAUGUGGAAGAAAACUUUGAAUCCUCUCCUAUAGUUUAAGUCAUCAUUGUCAAAAGGAAAAUCUCUUCUAAGUACAAUUGCUAAAGAACCAGAAUUUAAUUUUCAGAGUAGAAUGAAGGACAUGCCUUUCACCAAAGGCCUUUUCUCUGAGCUUUUUUAAGAAAAAGUUUCAUUGCAAAAUGCUGCACCAUCUAAAAUAUGAGGAACACAGUCUAUUGAUCUAGGCCACUUCAAAUUAGAGUAAAAUUUGGAAGAUUGAGUAUUUUGAGAUUUGAAUAAUACCAUGGUCUUUUCAAUAUUAUCUUCAGGAAAUACCUGCAUCUUG